rnacentral:rRNA from 1 species
UACGGAGGGAGCUAGCGUUGUUCGGAAUUACUGGGCGUAAAGCGCACGUAGGCGGCUUUGUAAGUUAGAGGUGAAAGCCUGGAGCUUAACUCCAGAACUGCCUUUAAGACUGCAUCGCUUGAAUCCGGGAGAGGUGAGUGGAAUUCCGAGUGUAGAGGUGAAAUUCGUAGAUAUUCGGAAGAACACCAGUGGCGAAGGCGGCUCACUGGACCGGUAUUGACGCUGAGGUGCGAAAGCGUGGGGAGCAAACAGGAUUAGAUACCCGGGUAGU